AACGAACGCUGGCGGCAGGCCUAACACAUGCAAGUCGAACGUGAAGCCACCUUCGGGUGGUGGAAAGUGGCAGACGGGUGAGUAACGCGUGGGAACGUGCCUUUCGGUUCGGGAUAACCCAGGGAAACUUGGGCUAAUACCGGAUACGCCCUCCGGGGGAAAGAUUCAUUGCCGAAAGAUCGGCCCGCGUCGGAUUAGGUAGUUGGUGGGGUAAAAGCCUACCAAGGCGACGAGCCGUAGCUGGUCUGAGAGGAUGACGAGCCACACUGGGACUGAGGCACGGCCCAGACUCCUACGGGCGGCAGCAGUGGGGAAAAUUGGACAAUGGGCGCAAGCCUGAUCCAGCCAUGCCGCGUGGGUGAAGAAGGCCCUAGGGUUGUAAACCCCUUUCAGCGGGGAAGAUAAUGACGGUACCCGCAGAAGAAGCCCCGGCUAACUCCGUGCCAGCCGCCGCGGUAAUAC
rnacentral:rRNA from 1 species